UGCUUCUUCUUUGGUUCUUCUCUUCUUAUGCUUUUCCUUAGUCUCUCCCGUCUUGGCGGACAAGAGAACUAUGGCUGGUCUAAACGACGUCGUGUUGUAUCCCAUUAGGCAUAUUGGGCCUCUAAUCCACAGCCCAUCCUAGCCCGCAUUUGCCAUUUUUCUCACAAGUCCUUUGGUUUUUUAGGCAACUUCUUGUUUUCAGCAAUUUUAUUGUUUGGCCGUGUUUGUCAGA